AAGCAUGCCUAAACACAAAUAUAAAUAAAUAAUACAGGUUUGUGAAAUGUAAAUAAAAGAGAGGGAGGAAAAGAAACAGAAGUGAAAACAAAAGAUAUGGGACACACUUUGACGGACACACACGUACAUUUGGCUCCAGUCGGCUGAAGUCGCAGAGAGUUAAGGUUGAAAUUCAAGUUGAGGAAAGUUGGCCUAGCUGCAAUGGAGAAGACGACACCAGAAUUAAGUCGAGCAAGCGCAAAAUGAAGGAGCAAUAGCGUGCUCGUUGAGUCGAAUCUGAGAGGUGCAGGCAGAGUAUAGACAGAAUAUAUAUGACAGAGUCAUCAAUGGCCAAGGGUGGAGCGGUGGUUCAGGGGCCUACCUGAUAUAUCUAACAAAAGGAAAAGAAACACAACGAAACAGGCAACUUACCGAGGCCGAAGGGUUUACUGGACAACGGAGUGGUUGCCGAAGUGCUAUUCAUAUUCGAGUCCAGGUCAGGCUUAAAACUGCCCAGACCUGAGCGAACACUGAUCUCACGCAAUGGCCCGCUCAGUUCCGCGGCCAGGUCUGCAAAACUCUCAGACCGAGUUGGUCCGUCGGACAAAUUGAAGAGCUGUAACGAAAAGAAAGAAACAAUUAAUUUAUGAUAAAAAAGAUGCGAAAUAAACACAUGCCUGUGAGAAGUUGGGAACGCUGGCCGUCUUUCUCAUGAGAGGCCGUCCCUGAGCCUGAAGGAGUUCUUUAACAGCAACGUUUUGCCUCAGCCUGUCGAGAGUGAGGAUCGACUCAACUGCACUGACUCCUCUGGUGUAUUGUUCUGAAGAAGAAUUUUUAAUUAAUUUUAUAAUU